rnacentral:ncRNA from 1 species
CAAAGGCUUGGUCCUGACUUUACUAUUGGCUUAAAUUGUACUUAUACAUGCAAGUCUCAGCCCCCCUGUGAGAAUGCCCUUGCCCCCUGCCCGGGGGUAAGGAGCUGGUAUCAGGCACAAUUCUUAGCCCACGACGCCUUGCUUUGCCACACCCCCAAGGGUACUCAGCAGUAAUAAAUAUUAAGCCAUAAGCGUCAGCUUGACUUAGUUAAGAUUCUUAGGGCCGGUAAAACUCGUGCCAGCCACCGCGGUUAUACGAGGGGCCCAAGUCAAUAGAUCUCGGCGUAAAGAGUGGUUAAGAUCACAAAAAACUAGAGCCCUACACCCCCAAGGCUGUUAUACGCACCCGUGGAGUGGAUGAUCUACCACGAAAGUGGCUCUAAUAUAUCUGAACCCACGAAAGCUAUAGAACAAACUGGGAUUAGAUACCCCACUAUGUAUAGCCUUAAACUUUGAUAGUAGUAAUACGUACACCUAUCCGCCCGGGUACUACGAGCGUUAGCUUAAAACCCAAAGGACUUGGCGGUGCCUCAGACCCCCCUAGAGGAGCCUGUUCUAGAACCGAUACUCCCCGUUUAACCUCACCACCUCUUGUCCCCACUGCCUAUAUACCGCCGCCGUCAGCUUACCCUGUGAAGGUAAAAUAGUAAGCACAAUUGGCAUAGCCUAAAACGUCAGGUCGAGGUGUAGCGCAUGAGGUGGAAGAAAUGGGCUACAUUCCCUGACCUAGGGUAUACGGAAGGGGGAUUGAAACAUCCCCCCAAAGGAGGAUUUAGCAGUAAGCUGGGAAAUAGAGUGUCCCGCUGAAGCCGGCUCUGAGGCGCGCACAUACCGCCCGUCACUCUCCCCCAGUGUUUAUUUAAAAAAUAUUAUUAAACCAACAUCUAUAACUAAGAGGAGGUAAGUCGUAACAUGGUAAGUGUACCGGAAGGUGUACUUGGAAUAAU